rnacentral:lncRNA from 1 species
UUCUGCCAUGAUUCUGAGGCCUCCCAGCCACGUCGAACUACAGAAGAAGGAGAUGCCAGUGACAAGCAAAGUAACUCCCCCACGGCAUGGGAAGAGCCAGCAUCUGCUGCUGUCCAGGAAUACAGUCUCACUGCUGCAGUCAAGGAAGGCCAAAGAAGCCACCGGGGAAAACCAACCCAUCCCGGGGACACUGGAGGCUCACUCCUUCCUCGCUGCAUUCUGAGGCUGCUGCUUUGGAGUGAGAGAUUAUCCUCUGCUUCUCCUGAAAGAGAAGGUGAUAUGCCCAGGACCCUUCCUGAGUAAGAUGUGUUCCUCAGAGGUUAAAAAAGAAAAAAAAGCCCCAAACCCCUGAAACCAAGAAAUCAAGACAGCUCUGGUGGAGAAGCUUUUGGGAACUUGCUGGGGCAGGCUCCAAUCAGCUUAAAGUCCUUGCAAAGAAAGAAAUUGUGCCCUGUCUCUCAGCGUCGACCAUAGCAGAGAGCCUGGGACAUGAAUGGGUGUCAUUAUUUAUCUGCUGAACAAAUAGCAAAUUAUCUGGAUUUUACAGAGGAAGGAGGACAUUGAAGAUUAGAGGUUGCAUAGCCUGACCAUGUUUACAUCUACUGCAGAUGAAGAGAUUGCUUCGCUUCAAACCUCCUGACUGCCAUGGAACCAUCUGGCACAUACACGUGUGUGGGUGGCGUCAGAAGUGGGAUCUGAAGUAGAGCUUCUAAUGACCUCUAGGAGUGCUGAGUGACCAAGUGAGGUACCUGCAGGACCCUUUUGUGUUCAGUGAUCUCUUGGAGCAGCUGGGGAUCAUGCUUGACCUCCACGGCUAUAGUGUGGUGAACAGGCUCAGUAGGGCUGCUCAGAGAAAGGGAAUCCAGAAGCCUGGCAUGCUGGCAAAAGGGUAAGAAUUUCUUACCAGUCAGACUUCUCACCUCUCUCUUUCUGUGCAAAAUGGUUGGAUGAAUGGUAAAAAUCACUGUUUAUCUCUUCUGUAAAGUUCUAAUUAAUAUGAAAAAAGGCUUCUGAGGCUAGACCUAAGCUGUAGCAAAUGCGAUGUGCUUUGUGUGUCUUCUGUAUGGUUUUGUCAUAAAGAGGAGUAUGUUAGGAUAGAACAUGGGCUUAGGACCCCAUAAGCUCACUAUUCAAGAUGGCCCAGCAAGCUGGUCAGUAACAAACUUUGUUGCAGUUACCUGAAACAAACAAAAAACUGGAUGAGGUUUCCAUCUUGUUUUAUGUCCUUGGGAAUUUGACCUCAUAACCAUGUGGCAAUACUUUCUCUUGGUCUCUGCCAUGUAAGGAACAGGAAUUGGGGGAUUCAUGUCAUAGCCCUAAAAAUUAUUGAACAGUAAAAGCCUUUGUGACCACACCACUGUACUCCAGCCUGUGUAACAGAGC